UCAGUUAUCGUUUAUUUGAUAGUACCUUACUACAUGGAUAACCGUGGUAAUUCUAGAGCUAAUACAUGCUAAAAACCUCGACUUCGGAAGGGGUGUAUUUAUUAGAUAAAAAACCAAUGCCCUUCGGGGCUCCUUGGUGAAUCAUAAUAACUUAACGAAUCGCAUGGCCUUGCGCCGGCGAUGGUUCAUUCAAAUUUCUGCCCUAUCAACUUUCGAUGGUAGGAUAGUGGCCUACCAUGGUAUCAACGGGUAACGGGGAAUUAGGGUUCGACUCCGGAGAGGGAGCCUGAGAAACGGCUACCACAUCCAAGGAAGGCAGCAGGCGCGCAAAUUACCCAAUCCCGACACGGGGAGGUAGUGACAAUAAAUACUGAUACAGGGCUCUUUUGGGUCUUGUAAUUGGAAUGAGUACAAUUUAAAUCCCUUAACGAGGAACAAUUGGAGGGCAAGUCUGGUGCCAGCAGCCGCGGUAAUUCCAGCUCCAAUAGCGUAUAUUAAAGUUGUUGCAGUUAAAAAGCUCGUAGUUGAACCUUGGGCCUGGCUGGCCGGUCCGCCUCACCGCGUGUACUGGUCCGGCCGGGCCUUUCCUUCUGGGGAACCUCAUGCCCUUCACUGGGCGUGUUGGGGAACCAGGACUUUUACUUUGAAAAAAUUAGAGUGUUCAAAGCAGGCCUUUGCUCGAAUACAUUAGCAUGGAAUAAUAGAAUAGGACGUGUGGUUCUAUUUUGUUGGUUUCUAGGACCGCCGUAU
rnacentral:rRNA from 1 species